GACGAACGCUGGCGGCGUGCUUAACACAUGCAAGUCGAACGAAGUGGCGAACGGGUGAGUAACUCGUAAUCAACCUGCCCUUCAGCCGGGGACAACAGUUUGACACGACUGCUCAUACCGCAUUUUGAAGGAGGGGAUUGCGUCGGAUUAGCUAGUUGGGGGGGUACCGGCCCACCAAGGCGAUGAUCAGUAGCCGGUCUGAGAGGAGGAACGGCCACAUUGGGACUGAGACACGGCCCAGACUCCUACGGGAGGCAGCAGUGGGGAAUCUUCCGCAAUGGAAGAAAGUCUGACGGAGCAACGCCGCGUGAGUGAUGACGGCCUUCGGGUUGGAAAGCUCUGUUAAUCGGGACGCGGUACCGGAAUAGAAAGCCACGGCUAACUACGUGCCAGCAGCCGCGGUAAUAC
rnacentral:rRNA from 1 species